GACGGUGUAGCUCAGUGGUAGAGCAUGUGCUGAGCAUCCACGAGGUCCUGGCUUCAAUCCCCAGUACCUCCA
rnacentral:tRNA from 1 species